AUUGAACGCUGGCGGCAGGCCUAACACAUGCAAGUCGAGCGGAUGAGAGGAGCUUGCUCUUUGAUUCAGCGGCGGACGGGUGAGUAAUGCCUAGGAAUCUGCCUGGUAGUGGGGGACAACGUUUCGAAAGGAACGCUAAUACCGCAUACGUCCUACGGGAGAAAGUGGGGGAUCUUCGGACCUCACGCUAUCAGAUGAGCCUAGGUCGGAUUAGCUAGUUGGUGAGGUAAUGGCUCACCAAGGCGACGAUCCGUAACUGGUCUGAGAGGAUGAUCAGUCACACUGGUACUGAGACACGGACCAGACUCCUACGGGUGGCAG
rnacentral:rRNA from 1 species